rnacentral:misc_RNA from 1 species
GAUGAAGAACGUAGCGAAAUGCGAUACGUAAUGUGAAUUGCAGAAUUCAGUGAAUCAUCGAGUCUUUGAACGCACAUUGCGCCCCCUGGUAUUCCGGGGGCAUGCCUGUCCGAGCGUCAUUGCUGCCCUCAAGCCCGGCUUGUGUGUUGGGUCUCGUCCCCCUUCCCGGGGGGACGGGCCCGAAAGGCAGCGGCGGCACCGCGUCCGGUCCUCGAGCGUAUGGGGCUUUGUCACCCGCUCUGUAGGCCCGGCCGGCGCUUGCCGAUCAACCAAAACUUUUUUCCAGGUUGACCUCGGAUCAGGUAGGGAUACCCGCUGAACUUAAGCAUAUCAAUAAGCGGAGGA